rnacentral:rRNA from 1 species
GACGAACGCUGGCGGCGUGCUUAACACAUGCAAGUCGAACGGUAAGGCCCUUCGGGGUACACGAGUGGCGAACGGGUGAGUAACACGUGGGUGAUCUGCCCUGCACUUCGGGAUAAGCCUGGGAAACUGGGUCUAAUACCGGAUAGGACCACUGCCGGCAUGGGUGGUGGUGGAAAGCUUUUGCGGUGUGGGAUGGGCCCGCGGCCUAUCAGCUUGUUGGUGGGGUGAUGGCCUACCAAGGCGACGACGGGUAGCCGGCCUGAGAGGGUGACCGGCCACACGUGGCAGGAGGAGCGGCCCAGACCCCGACGGAAGGGAGCGGUGGGGAGUAUUGCAGAAGGGGCGCAAGCCUGAUGGAGGGACGCAGCGUGAGGGAGAACGGCCUUCGGGUUGUAAACCUCUUGCAGCACCGACGAAGCGCAAGUGACGGUAGGUGCAGAAGAAGGACCGGCCAACUACGUGCCAGCAGCCGCCGUAA